rnacentral:rRNA from 1 species
GACGAACGCUGGCGGCGCGCCUAACACAUGCAAGUCGAGCGGGAAGCUUUUUUAAGGAUUCUUCGGAUGAAUUAAAAAGUGGAGAGCGGCGGACGGGUGAGUAACGCGUGAGAAACCUGCCCUAUACAGGGGGAUAGCCAUUGGAAAACGAUGAUUAAUACCCCAUAUGACCACAGUAUCGCAUGAUACAGCGGUGAAAACUCCGGUGGUAUAGGAUGGUCUCGCGUCUGAUUAGCUAGUUGGUGGGUAACGCCUACCAAGGCGACGAUCAGUAGCCGGCCUGAGAGGGUGACCGGCCACACUGGAACUGAGACACGGUCCAGACUCCUACGGGAGCAGCAGUGGGAAUAUGCACAAUGGCAAGCCUGAUGCAGCGACGCCGCGU